rnacentral:rRNA from 1 species
UGCAGAGGGUGCGAGCGUUGUUCGGAUAUACUGGGCGUAAAGCGCACGUAGGCGGCGCAGCAAGUCAGGGGUGAAAUCCCGGAGCUCAACUCCGGAACUGCCUUUGAAACUGCAGUGCUAGAAUCCUGGAGAGGCGAGUGGAAUUCCGAGUGUAGAGGUGAAAUUCGUAGAUAUUCGGAAGAACACCAGUGGCGAAGGCGACUCGCUGGACAGGUAUUGACGCUGAGGUGCGAAAGCGUGGGGAGCAAACAGG